rnacentral:lncRNA from 1 species
GGAGAUAAAAUGAAAGGCAUUAAGAGAUGCUAAUCAAAUGACAAUAUUCGAACUCAGGAUCGCAUAGGUUUAGUUUCGUGACUCUGAUCAUAAUCAAUGAUAGCUCCAUUAAUAGAAAUAUGGGUUAAGAGUCUAAGCCCAACAAGAUAAUAUUAUACCACACAAUAGAAAUUCUCAAUUUAGGGGAUGGAGGAUGAGAUGACAAGAUAGUUAUUAGCGGAAGCAAAAGACAUCGUGGAACCCUAGCCUCAGCUCAGCCUCGUCUGCACCAACUGAUCAACCUGAAAACAUUUGAAAAUAAUUUGGGCUGAGUACUAAUGUACUCAGUGGGCACAAGUUUUCGAAAUAUUUUAUGAAAUAAUCGAAGCAGUUUAUCCAAUAUCAAAUCAUGACUUAGAAGGUUUUAAAACGAAUCCCCUUCUAAGCAUGACAAAUAAUUUUCUUAUAGUGGCGCGCCAUGUACGUUCGAUUGUUACUCACUUUCUCCCUAAUUCACUGAUCUCGGGACGCACCCAGUCAGAUCCAAAAUCUGUUAUUGAUCUCGGGACGCACCCGGUCGGAAUCAAUAACCUUAACUGUGCUCCGGAUAACCUCCUGUCAAGCACCGUGCUCCGGAUAACCUCCUGUCAAGCACCCACCCUUAUAACGUUCUAAAUCUGUUAGUGCACGAUGGUGAUCAACCCAUCGAGCCACUAACCCUGUGUACACAAUCCUCAUUUAGCGUGUUAGGCCAAAUGAGAAUCUCGAUCGAUCUUAAGUGAGCCUUAAACAAUUACAGAACGCACAUAAAAACAUUUAUAUUGGAUAAACAGAUAAUUUUCAUGAAAUAUCAGAGCUUAUAUAACUCAAGAUACAUUGUAUUAAAAUAAACCCACCUGAAUAGGCAAAGCCUGUAGUUUAAUCGUAAACCGUCACGGGAAAGCAGUGCUAAUCCUCCUGAUCCUCAAAGCCUACAAGAAAUCUAUUCUUAAUAGGUCUCUUGGUGCUAUUCUAACUUCUAAAUAAAAAGGAAAUUCUACUAUUGAUACACUUUGCCCGAAUAGAAUUUGUAUAAUUCUUUAAGUGAAUCAUAAACUUUUAAUACAUAAUUAAAUUUAAAAUAUAAUUAAACUAAAUCUAAAAAUUAUUAUCUUAAGAAAAUAUAAAUUUAUUCUAAGAAAAAUAAUAUUUAUUAAAACAUUUACAGGCAAGUAAAUAAAGCCCAAAAAAUAAUUUAAAGAGUUGUUAUUAAUAAUGCAGCCCAAGUAUAAUAAACAGAGCCUAAUUUUAAAACAGCAAAAAUCGGCCCAAUGAAAAAAAAUAAAAUAAAAUCGGCCCAAUCAAAUUUUAAGGAGCCCAAAUUAAAAGUCCAAUUAAAAGGGUCAAAACCCUAGAAGAAAAAUCUGAAAUUAAAAACAAAAUAAUUUAAACUUCUCUCAUCACUCUCUCUCUCUCUCCUCUCAAACGGCUCUCUCUCUUUCUCUCCACUUCUCCUCCUCUCUCUCUCAAAACCACCGCCCCUCUUUCUCCUCCAUAGCUUCCGCCGCCACCGCCUUCCUUCCGGCGACCGCACGGCCGGAAGGCCUGCUGCCCUCGUCUCCCUCUCUCUCUCCCAGCCCUCGACAGUCGACACACUCACCAGACACGGCGCCGACCACCCUCUGAAUCCAGCGACGACGCGACUCCAGCCGCACCGCUGCCUCCUCCCUGUCUACUCUCUCUCUCCCUCUUCGUCCGUGGCCGGACGACAGCGGCCGGGCCGCCGCGCCCUGCCCAUCUCCUCCAUUCUCUCUCACCUUUCCGGCAACAGGCAGCCAAGGAGGGGCCGCUGCCUCCGCUCGCCACUAACAGCGUCUGGCGCCGUCCCGCGCCACGCCGCCUCCCGUCUGCCUCAGCCGUGAGCUGCCGGCGGGCUGCUGCCACAUGCAGCGCCGGCAGCCGCGGCUUCGUCAGUCCGGUGCGAGACUCCGACAGACGGCAUCCUUGCCAUCGCCUCCUCGACUCUCACCCUCUCCGAAGGCUAGCAAGAAGGGUUUUAAAACAGAUUUGAAGAAAAAGAAAAAUGGGUUCUUGAAGAAAAUUUGAAAUUUUAAGUUAUAAGAAAGAGAAUUUAUUCUAUUGAUGUGUUCUUGUGUGAGCAUCAAAAACAAUAAGAUAUGAUUUCGUGUACAGUCCUUGAGUUCUCUGAUAUGAGCUGGGUUUAUUCUCUAUGAUUCUUCUUCCUUUUCUUAACAACAUGGAUGAAAAUGUAGAAGAGAAAUUGUAAAUGUAUGGGGUUUGAGGUAACCUUGUGUGGAGUUGCUCUUGAAGGCGUUGCUGGAGUUGUUUGAGAGUUUCUUGAUUUACUGAGUAUGGUUGAAAACAGCUGCAGAGAUUGGAGAGUGCAGGGAUUGGAGUGGAGUGUGUGGAUGGCUUGUGGGUAAAGAAGAAGGUAAUUAAAAACAGAUGGAGGGAGGUUGCGUGUGUGGAGUUUUGCCUUUGGGGAUAAAUGAUAAAGUGAAAGAUUUGGUAAUUUCUUGGGAAGAGACAGAUUUUUUUUGGAGAAGG